rnacentral:rRNA from 1 species
GAUGAACGCUGGCGGCGUGCCUAACACAUGCAAGUCGAACGGAGAUUACGGACGGAAGUUUUCGGAUGGAAGCCUGUAAUUCUUAGUGGCGGACGGGUGAGUAACGCGUGGGCAACCUGCCCUAUACAGGGGGAUAGCAGCUGGAAACGGCUGGUAAGACCGCAUAAGUCGGUUAAAUCGCAUGAUUUGAUCGGGAAAUGAGCAAUCAGGUAUAGGAUGGGCCCGCGUCCGAUUAGCCAGUUGGCAGGGUAAAAGCCUACCAAAGCGACGAUCGGUAGCCGGACUGAGAGGUCGGACGGCCACAUUGGGACUGAGACACGGCCCAAACUCCUACGGGAGGCAGCAGUGGGGGAUAUUGCACAAUGGAGGAAACUCCGAUGCAGCGACGCCGCGUGAGUGAAGAAGUAUUUCGGUAUGUAAAGCUCUAUCAGCAGGGAAGAUGAUGACGGUACCUGACUAAGAAGCCCCGGCUAACUACGUG